rnacentral:lncRNA from 1 species
UUUUUGCAUUUCUUUCUUUUGGAGUCGAAGGAAGACAGAGGAUUUCUUGUGGAAAACGUGUGCUUCAAUUUCUCUUCUCUCACGCUUCGCCACACUCUCACCUCUAAAAUAGCAUCAUAGGACUCCUAGAGAGUCUUACCCAGUUCAGUUCUUGGACCAAGAAUCAGUCACCACAUACUUUUCACAGGCUAUGGUGACGGCUUGCCCUCUUUCUCUCUCCUAAUAACCAAACCCUC